CUCCACCUCCCGGGUUCAAGUGAUUCUCUUGCCUCAGCCUCCCAGGUAGCUGGGACUACAGGCACAUGCCACCACGCCCGGCUAAUUUUUUUUUUUUUUUUACUAUUUUAGUAGAGACAGAGUUUCACCAUGUUGGCCAGGAUGGUCUUGAUCUGAUCUCGUGAUCCGUCUGCCUCGGCCUCCCAAAGUGCUGGGAUUACAGGCGUGAGCCACCGUGCCCGGCCUUGUAUGUGGGUUUUAAGUGGGCCAAUGUAAUAAGCAUUCUGUUUCAUACCUGGGGUAGUAUGUGGAUAUAAGUAUCAGCUUAAAAUAGGGCAGGUAAAUAAAUCUGUGUUCCUAUCUGGUGGUAUGUCAUUGCCUUCUAUCUUUGGACCUAGAAAUGAGUUGGUUCAAACCAGGUAGGUAUGCAGACCUGUUUGUAUCUGGUAGAUAAGAAACCCCUGGUUUGUCUGGGAGGUUGAGCAGCGGCUUAUUGUGGAAUCUCUUUGUGCCUGGUGUUCUCCUAGAUCCAAUUCUGGUACAGCAGUUGCGCCGGACAUACAAAUAUUUCAAAGAUUAUAGACAGAUGAUCAUCGAGCCCACUAGCCCUUGCCUUCUCCCAGACCCUCUGCAGGAACCGUACUACCAGCCACCCUACACGCUCGUUUUGGAGCUCACCGGCGUCCUCUUGCAUCCUGAGUGGUC
rnacentral:sRNA from 1 species